rfam:Triticum aestivum genome assembly, contig: Triticum_aestivum_CS42_TGACv1_scaffold_513905_6BS
UACGUACUCCCUCCGUCUGAAAAUACUUGUCAUCAAAAUAAAUUAAAGAGGAUGUAUCUAGAUGUAUAUUAGUUCUAGACACAUCCCUUUUUAUCCAUUUUGAUGACAAGUAUUUUCAGACGAAGGGAGUACUAC